CCUACGGGAGGCAGCAGUGGGGAAUAUUGCGCAAUGGGCGAAAGCCUGACGCAGCGACGCCGCGUGAGGGAUGAAGGUCUUCGGAUCGUAAACCUCUGUCAGGAGGGAAGAAGUGGUUAUAUGCGAAUAGUGUAUGACUUUGACGGUACCUCCAAAGGAAGCACCGGCUAACUCCGUGCCAGCAGCCGCGGUAAUACGGGGGAUGCAAGCGUUAUCCGGAUUUAUUGGGUUUAAAGGGUGCGUAGGCUGUGAGGUAAGUCAGCGGUGAAAUGCCCCCGCUCAACGGGGUGAAGUGCCAUUGAUACUGCCUUGCUGGAAUGCGGAUGCCGUGGGAGGAAUGUGUGGUGUAGCGGUGAAAUGCAUAGAUAUCACACAGAACACCGAUUGCGAAGGCAUCUCACGAAUCCGCGAUUGACGCUGAUGCACGAAAGCGUGGGUAUCAAACAGGAUUAGAUACCCUUGUAGUC
rnacentral:rRNA from 1 species